AGCGAACGUUGGCGGCGUGGAUGAGGCAUGCAAGUCGAGCGAGAAACGGGGGGCAACCCCCGGAGUAAAGCGGCGAAAGGGUGAGUAACGCGUAGGCAAUCCACCCCCGAGACCGGGACAACCCCUCGAAAGGGGGGCUAAUACCGGGUACGCCCCGUGGAGGGCAUCCUCCGCGGGGGAGACGGCGGGGAUCCUUCGGGACCCGCUGCUCGGGGAGGAGCCUGCGUCCCAUCAGCUUGUUGGCGGGGUGACGGCCCACCAAGGCUAUGACGGGUAGCCGGCCUGAGAGGGCGAUCGGCCACACUGGGACUGAGACACUGCCCAGACUCCUACGGGAGGCUGCAGUCGAGGAUCUUCCGCAAUGGGCGAAAGCCUGACGGAGCGACGCCGCGUGGGGGAUGAAGGCCUUCGGGUUGUAAACCCCUGUCACCCGUUAUGAAAGCCACCGGAGUAACCCUCCGGAGGUUGACAAAGGCGGGAGAGGAAGCCCCGGCUAACUACGUGC
rnacentral:rRNA from 1 species